rnacentral:rRNA from 1 species
GGCGGACGGGUGAGUAAUGCUUAGGAAUCUGCCUGGUUGUGGGGGAUAACCCGGGGAAACUCGGGCUAAUACCGCAUACGUCUCCCUGUCUUUGCGACAGGGAGGGAAAGCGGGGGACCUUCGGGCCUCGCGCUAUCAGAUGAGCCUAAGUCCGAUUAGCUAGUUGGUAGGGUAACGGCCUACCAAGGCGACGAUCGGUAGCUGGUCUGAGAGGACACCAGCCACCUGGGACUGAGACACGGCCCAGACUCCUACGGGAGGCAGCAGUGGGGAAUAUUGGAAAUGGGCGAAACCUGAUCCAGCGAUGCCGCGUGUGUGAAGAAGGCCUGCGGGUUGUAAGCCCUUUCGUAGGGAAGAAAAGCCUAGUGCCAUACCACUCGGUCUUGACGUUACCUAAAGAAGAAGCACCGGCUAACUCCGUGGCAGCAGCCGCGGUAUACGGAGGGUGCGAGCGUUAAUCCGAAUUACUGGGCGUACAGGGCGCGUAUGCGGUGAACUAAGUCUGGUGUGAAAGCCCCGGGCUCAACUGGGAACUGCCUCCGAUCUGCUUCCCUAGAGUAUGGUACAGGGAAGCGGAAUUCCGGUGUACGGUGAAUGCGUAUAUAUCUGGAAGACAUACUGGCCAAGUAGCUUCCUGGACCAAACUGACCUAAGCGCGAAACCUGAGGAUCCCCCUUUUCUAUCCCUGGUAGACACGCCUCACUAUGAGACUACCCGAGGACCAAUUAUUCUUUAUGACCAGCUAUUCCAAAGUUUCCACUGGGAGUACGCCGCAAGUUCAAAUGAAUGAUUGACUCGAAUGCUGAGUUCGGCGCUACUUCAUUAUCCUAUUGGGUCGACUAAAAGGCGAAUCUUUAAACUGCAGAUAGUCCUUUAUGAGG